rnacentral:rRNA from 1 species
UACGGAGGGUGCAAGCGUUAAUCGGAAUUACUGGGCGUAAAGCGCACGCAGGCGGUUUGUUAAGUCAGAUGUGAAAUCCCCGGGCUCAACCUGGGAACUGCAUUCGAUACUGGCAAGCUUGAGUGUCGUAGAGGGGGGUAGAAUUCCAGGUGUAGCGGUGAAAUGCGUAGAGAUCGGGAGGAAUACCGGUGGCGAAGGCGGCCCCCUGGACCAAGACUGACGCUCAGGUGCGAAAGCGUGGGGAGCAAACAGG